GGCUCAGGAUGAACGCUAGCUACAGGCUUAACACAUGCAAGUCGAGGGGCAUCAGGAAGAAAGCUUGCUUUCUUUGCUGGCGACCGGCGCACGGGUGAGUAACACGUAUCCAACCUGCCCUUUACUCGGGGAUAGCCUUUCGAAAGAAAGAUUAAUACCCGACAGCAUAAUGAUUCCGCAUGGUUUCAUUAUUAAAGGAUUCCGGUAAAGGAUGGGGAUGCGUUCCAUUAGGUUGUUGGUGAGGUAACGGCCCACCAAGCCUUCGAUGGAUAGGGGUUCUGAGAGGAAGGUCCCCCACAUUGGAACUGAGACACGGUCCAAACUCCUACGGGAGGCAGCAGUGGGGAAUAUUGGUCAAUGGGCGCUAGCCUGAACCAGCCAAGUAGCGUGAAGGAUGAAGGCUCUAUGGGUCGUAAACUUCUUUUAUAUAAGAAUAAAGUGCAGUAUGUAUACUGUUUUGUAUGUAUUAUAUGAAUAAGGAUCGGCUAACUCCGUGCCAGCAGCCGCGGUAAUACGGAGGAUCCGAGCGUUAUCCGGAUUUAUUGGGUUUAAAGGGAGCGUAGGUGGACUGGUAAGUCAGUUGUGAAAGUUUGCGGCUCAACCGUAAAAUUGCAGUUGAUACUGUCAGUCUUGAGUACAGUAGAGGUGGGCGGAAUUCGUGGUGUAGCGGUGAAAUGCUUAGAUAUCACGAAGAACUCCGAUUGCGAAGGCAGCUCACUGGACUGCAACUGACACUGAUGCUCGAAAGUGUGGGUAUCAAACAGGAUUAGAUACCCUGGUAGUCCACACAGUAAACGAUGAAUACUCGCUGUUUGCGAUAUACAGUAAGCGGCCAAGCGAAAGCAUUAAGUAUUCCACCUGGGGAGUACGCCGGCAACGGUGAAACUCAAAGGAAUUGACGGGGGCCCGCACAAGCGGAGGAACAUGUGGUUUAAUUCGAUGAUACGCGAGGAACCUUACCCGGGCUUAAAUUGCAGUGGAAUGAUGUGGAAACAUGUCAGUGAGCAAUCACCGCUGUGAAGGUGCUGCAUGGUUGUCGUCAGCUCGUGCCGUGAGGUGUCGGCUUAAGUGCCAUAACGAGCGCAACCCUUAUCUUUAGUUACUAACAGGUUAUGCUGAGGACUCUAGAGAGACUGCCGUCGUAAGAUGUGAGGAAGGUGGGGAUGACGUCAAAUCAGCACGGCCCUUACGUCCGGGGCUACACACGUGUUACAAUGGGGGGUACAGAAGGCAGCUAGCGGGUGACCGUAUGCUAAUCCCAAAAUCCUCUCUCAGUUCGGAUCGAAGUCUGCAACCCGACUUCGUGAAGCUGGAUUCGCUAGUAAUCGCGCAUCAGCCACGGCGCGGUGAAUACGUUCCCGGGCCUUGUACACACCGCCCGUCAAGCCAUGGGAGCCGGGGGUACCUGAAGUACGUAACCGCAAGGAUCGUCCUAGGGUAAAACU
rnacentral:rRNA from 1 species